CGGCCCUUGGCGGCACGGCGGCGCUCGGCCCUGCCGGGGCCGGGGAGCGGCGUCGCGGCCGGUUCCACGGUCCGCAGCGCCAUC
rnacentral:tRNA from 1 species